AAAAAAAAAGAUAUAUGAGAUUCGAAUUCCAUGAAAUAAUAUAUAAUACUGAUCAGCAAGGUAUUCUCCCCUUCUGUCCUUCCCUUCAUUUUAUAUUAUUAGUAUUUUUUUUUUAAGAUUUCAUAUAUAAAUUAGUAAUCAUGUAAGAGUGAUAUGAUAUUAAACUUUUAUAUGAAGAUAUAUAUUUAUAUAUAUAUAUAUAAAUAA